UCCGCGUGUCUCCAUCCAAUCGCUUUUCUCUGACCUCACCUUUGCUUCUGCUUAGUCGGGGCUCACUACCAUAUAUUUAAGGGACCGGCGGGGGACACUGGCUUUGUGCUGUCCCCAGCAGCAGUUACCACUGCUCUUCCAGGAACCAUAGGACUGUAUUCCCAGCUUCCCUCCAGCUGGUGGCUUACACUGACCCUUGUAAUAACCACAGAAGGCAAAAGCAAACAAUCCAGGCGUGCGUGCUGGCCAGGACCAGCCAAGCCUUACCAGAGGAUUGGGAAGGAGAAAGCCGUACUCCCCAGAAAUGUGAUAUCUUCCCAAGGACAAUGGUGCCAGCCGCUUCACGCUCUGACCUUCAGGCUCCAUGUUUUCACUUGAGGUCUCUACGGGAGGAAUGCCCAGGUUCAGGGAGCUCGCCCCGCUGGCUUCCGUGGUGGUUGUAGCUGUGCAGUGCUCCAGCAGGAGGGGAGAACCUUGCCCCCAGGCUGAACUCCAGGAUGGCCACACAUCUAUUCUGAAAGAAAGCCAAGCACAUCAGAAACCAUCUUAUAAUCAGCCUCUGAAUCCAGCUAUGAUGUCAUCCCUAGGUGACAAGGACCCGCUUGCGUCUGUUGCCAUGGCAACCACCAUAUACUCCGGGCAGGCAUGUGCCUCACCUGUGUGCAUCACUCAUUACUGGCACCUAUGACAGACCGAAUAAAAGACUGAGACCCUGACCCCUUGCCCCCUUUUUCCUCUUUCUCCUCUUCCUCGAUUUCUCCCCCCUCCCCCCCAUCGAUCAAAUAAAACCUCUUCACGUGAGACAGUGCUGCCCUGGCAUGAUCUGUCCAGAAACGAGCCGCCUUCUAACUAACACAUAUAAAUAUAUAUGAGAGAGAAAAUAUCCAAAGGAAUCUGGAAGAAUUCAGAGCAGAGAAAGAAAAAAACAGACUGAACCUGGCCAGCAGACCGCACAUAGCCAGAGCUGUCUGUGAGAGAGCAGAAAUAACUGGAGAUGGAGAGAAAACAUCGUGAGCCCAGCAGAAGCAGAGCAUGAAAACAGGCAUCUAAAAUAACAACAACAACAACAACAACAAUAAUAAU